AUGAUGAGGAUGAAGACCUUUAUGAUAAUCCACUUCCACUUAGUGAAUGGUGGACCUCCACAGGAACAAAUCAGAUCCAUGUCAGGUGGCACCAAACCUAAAUCUGCUUCUGCCUCAGCAGACAGGACACGUAGCUGUGGCUGCUGUGACUUCUGUGGCACUUGGGAUGGAAAAACGUGGGAUGCAAACCUAUUCUAGCAAUGCCUAGAGAUGCAGGGGAUAGAAAUUUCUGUCGACCGGGCGUGGUGACUCAAGCCUGUAAUCCCGGCACUUUGGGAGGACGAGAUGGGCGGAUCACGAGGUCAGGAAAUGGAGACCAUCCUGGCUAACACCGUGAAACCCUGUCUCUACUAAAAAAAAAAAAUACAAAAAACUAACCGGGCCAGGUGGCGGGCGCCUGUAGUCCCAGCUACUCGGGAGGCUGAGGCAGGAGAAUGGCGUAAACCCGGGAGGCUGGAGUGCAGUGGCCCGAUCUCAGCUCACUGCAAGCUCAGCCUGGGCGACAGAGCAAGACUCCAUCUCAAAAAAAAAAAAAAAAGAAAUUUCUUCUGUCUUAAUGUACUAGAUAAAAUUUAUAUUUGUUGAAACAAUUAGCUACUCCUUGACCAACAAGGCAAGAGCUCCACUAUAUGGCAUCACUCAUGUAGAUUGUGAACAAGAAAGCAUGGUUUGAUCUGACCACCUCAAAACAUUAUUUUUGUUUCCUAUUUGAAACUCAGAAUUUGCAAAUAGAGUCUUUGCAGAUGUAGUUGUUUAGGUUAGGA
rnacentral:lncRNA from 1 species